CCCAGACUCCUACGGGAGGCAGCAGUGGGGAAUAUUGCACAAUGGGGGAAACCCUGAUGCAGCGACGCCGCGUGAGUGAAGAAGUAUUUCGGUAUGUAAAGCUCUAUCAGCAGGGAAGAAAGAAAUGACGGUACCUGACUAAGAAGCCCCGGCUAACUACGUGCCAGCAGCCGCGGUAAUACGUAGGGGGCAAGCGUUAUCCGGAUUUACUGGGUGUAAAGGGAGCGUAGACGGCGAUGCAAGUCUGAAGUGAAAGGCGGGGGCCCAACCCCCGGACUGCUUUGGAAACUGUAUGGCUGGAGUGCAGGAGAGGUAAGUGGAAUUCCUAGUGUAGCGGUGAAAUGCGUAGAUAUCAGGAGGAACACCGGCGGCGAAGGCGGCCUGCUGGACCGUGACUGACGUUGAGGCUCGAGAGCGUGGGGAGCAAACAGGAUUAGAUACCCCGGUA
rnacentral:rRNA from 1 species